rnacentral:rRNA from 2 species
ACGGGAGGCAGCAGCUAAGAAUAUUCCGCAAUGGACGAAAGUCUGACGGAGCGACGCCGCGUGGGCGAUGGAGGCCGGAAGGUUGUAAAGCCCUUUUGGGAGCGAGGAAGGUCCACAGGAGGGAAUGCCUGUGGAGUGACGGUAGCUCGCGAAUAAGCAACGGCUAAUUACGUGCCAGCAGCCGCGGUAACACGUAAGUUGCGAGCGUUGUUCGGAAUCAUUGGGCGUAAAGGGCGUGUAGGCGGCCUGCUAAGCGGGGAGUGAAAUCCCGGGGCUCAACCCCGGGGCUGCUCCCCGAACUGGCGGGCUGGAGUCACCGAAGCGCAAUCGGAAUUCCAGGUGUAGGGGUGAAAUCUGUAGAUAUCUGGAAGAACACCGGUGGCGAAGGCGGAUUGCGGGCGGAUGACUGACGCUGAGGCGCGAAGGUGCGGGGAGCGAACAGGAUUAGAUACCCUGGUA